rnacentral:rRNA from 1 species
UACAGAGGGUGCAAGCGUUAAUCGGAAUUACUGGGCGUAAAGCGCGCGUAGGUGGUUUGUUAAGUUGGAUGUGAAAUCCCCGGGCUCAACCUGGGAACUGCAUCCAAAACUGGCAAGCUAGAGUAUGGUAGAGGGUGGUGGAAUUUCCUGUGUAGCGGUGAAAUGCGAAGAUAUAGGAAGGAACACCAGUGGCGAAGGCGACCACCUGGACUGAUACUGACACUGAGGUGCGAAAGCGUGGGGAGCAAUCAGG